rnacentral:rRNA from 1 species
UACGUAGGGCGCGAGCGUUGUCCGGAUUUAUUGGGCGUAAAGAGCUCGUAGGCGGCUUGUCGCGUCGACUGUGAAAACUUGGGGCUCAACCCCCAAGCUUGCAGUCGAUACGGGGCAGGCUAGAGUUCGGUAGGGGAGACUGGAAUUCCUGGUGUAGCGGUGAAAAUGCGCAGAUAUCAGGAGGAACACCGAUGGCGAAGGCAGGUCUCUGGGCCGAUACUGACGUGAGGAGCGAAAGCGUGGGGGAGCGAACAGG